rnacentral:snoRNA from 14 species
AGCCUGUGAUGUUUGAGAUUGUCCGUACCAUCUGAGUUUCUCCUUGACGAUUACCUCCACUUUCUGAGGCUU